AUUGAACGCUGGCGGCAGGCCUAACACAUGCAAGUCGAGCGAGCGGCGGACGGGUGAGUAAUGUAUGGGAAACUGCCUGAUGGAGGGGGAUAACUACUGGAAACGGUGGCUAAUACCGCAUACCAUCGGAUGUGCCCAGAUGGGAUUAGCUAGUAGGUGGGGUAAUGGCUUACCUAGGCGACGAUACCUAGCUGGUCUGCGAGGAUGACCAGCCAGACGGGAACUGAGACACGGUCGAGACUCCUCAGAGAGGCAGAAGUGGGGAAUAUGGGGAAAUGGGCGCAAGCCUGAUGCAGCCAUGCCGCGUGUGGGAAGAAGGCCUUCGGGGUGUAAAGCAUUUUCAGCGGGGAGGCGUUACCCGGAGAAGAAGCACCGGCUAACUCCGUGCCAGCAGCCGCGGUAAUAC
rnacentral:rRNA from 1 species